AUUCGAAAAAACUUUUUUACAU
rnacentral:snRNA from 1 species